GAAUUUUUCUAGUCUCACAUAACAUUUCCAUUAUGUCUAUAAAAGCUCUCUGACUCUUUUUCAUUAUCUUGUGGAUCACUGCAUCUCUGUUGUGGAAGGUAAUAAUUAAGAAGUGCACAUCAUCAAUCAUCUCUUCAUGGUUUGUGAAAGACCACACUUCCUCUACACCUUGCUACCAAUACUUUACAAUGAAAAUUUGUUCUGGUUGUUUUCUACCUUCUACCCACCUGUUUACAAAUAUGUAACAACCCAACGAUAGGUACGUCACUGCACCGACGUAUAGGGACAGCGGUUCUAUAUAGCAACUAUAGUUGCCUAAGCAAUUCAGCGCAAGCUUUCCUCUACUUCCAGAGUGUUGUCUGUACUAAUAAACAUUCUACUUACUUCCAGGAACAGCAUCCAUUUUGCAGAAUUGAAAUUAAUAUAGUCUGUUUAAAAUUAUUCACGUCUCACUUUGCUCUUGCACAUUGCACUUCACUGCACGAAAACUGCGUGACGAAUGAACGCGGUAAUUGAACGCUCACCAUUUUUCAGGUGAUUCCUUUAGAUUUCUGGAAUUCCCCAUCACGUGACGGCCGAGUGCCCCUGCUCCUUAAUCUACGCGGCCUCUCUACUUUAGGUUCUCACCCCACCGCGAGAUCAUCGGGGUUGCGCUGGCGCACACGUGGUCGCUCGUCGAUAAUUUAUCGAUAUUCUGUUUUAUCGGCCUACUUACCGACUCUACGCUUAUCGACUCAUUUAAUAGACUGAGUUACCGAUAAAUGAAACAGGCCAUUUCAAGGAGCUCCGCCCCUCGCUAGCUCUUUAUACUUGGGUAUGGCUUAGUAGAAACACCUGAUCAACACGUUGCGUACCAUGAGUAGGGUGUCCACAGAUCCGAAGUCUCGUACGUCACCACUGGAAGAGAAGGAUAAAGCUACUCUCGCGCUCUAUAGUUGCCUAAGCAAUUCAGCGCAAGCUUUCCUCUACUUCCAGAGUGCUGUCUGUACUAAUAAACAUUCUACUUACUUCCAAGAACAGCAUCCAUUUUGCAGAAUUGAAAUUGAUAUGGUCUGUUUAAAAUUAUUCACAUUUCACUUUGCUCUUGCACAUUGCACUUCACUGCACGAAAACUGCGUGACGAAUGAACGCGGUAAUUGAACGCUCACCAUUUUUCAGGUGAUUCCUUUAGAUUUCUGGAAUUCCCCAUCACGUGACGGCCGAGUGCCCCUGCUCCUUAAUCUACGCGGCCUCUCUACUCUAGGUUCUCACCCCACCGCGAGAUCAUCGGGGUUGCGCUGGCGCACACGUGGUCGCUCGUCGAUAAUUUAUCGAUAUUCUGUUUUAUCGGCCUACUUACCGACUCUACGCUUAUCGACUCAUUUAAUAGACUGAGUUAUCGAUAAAUGAAACACGCCAUUUCAAGGAGCUCCGCUCCUUACUAGCUCUAUAUACUUGGGUAU